UGAAGAGAUACUUGCCCAUGUCUGUGAGCGCAGCUGCCGAGUCGAUAGCGUCGCGGCCAACUCGAUUCCUUUCCAGAAAACAUUGGACGCGUUGGCUGAGGCGGGAAAAA